UAAUCGGGGCAGGGUGAGUCGACCCCUAAGGCGAGGCCGAAAGGCGUAGUCGAUGGGAAACAGGUUAAUAUUCCUGUACUUGGUGUUACUGCGAAGGGGGGACGGAGAAGGCUAUGUUGGCCGGGCGACGGUUGUCCCGGUUUAAGCGUGUAGGCUGGUUUUCCAGGCAAAUCCGGAAAAUCAAGGCUGAGGCGUGAUGACGAGGCACUACGGUGCUGAAGCAACAAAUGCCCUGCUUCCAGGAAAAGCCUCUAAGCAUCAGGUAACAUCAAAUCGUACCCCAAACCGACACAGGUGGUCAGGUAGAGAAUACCAAGGCGCUUGAGAGAACUCGGGUGAAGGAACUAGGCAAAAUGGUGCCGUAACUUCGGGAGAAGGCACGCUGAUAUGUAGGUGAAGUCCCUCGCGGAUGGAGCUGAAAUCAGUCGAAGAUACCAGCUGGCUGCAACUGUUUAUUAAAAACACAGCACUGUGCAAACACGAAAGUGGACGUAUACGGUGUGACGCCUGCCCGGUGCCGGAAGGUUAAUUGAUGGGGUCAGCGCAAGCGAAGCUCUUGAUCGAAGCCCCGGUAAACGGCGGCCGUAACUAUAACGGUCCUAAGGUAGCGAAAUUCCUUGUCGGGUAAGUUCCGACCUGCACGAAUGGCGUAAUGAUGGCCAGGCUGUCUCCACCCGAGACUCAGUGAAAUUGAACUCGCUGUGAAGAUGCAGUGUACCCGCGGCAAGACGGAAAGACCCCGUGAACCUUUACUAUAGCUUGACACUGAACAUUGAGCCUUGAUGUGUAGGAUAGGUGGGAGGCUUUGAAGUGUGGACGCCAGUCUGCAUGGAGCCGACCUUGAAAUACCACCCUUUAAUGUUUGAUGUUCUAACGUUGACCCGUAAUCCGGGUUGCGGACAGUGUCUGGUGGGUAGUUUGACUGGGGCGGUCUCCUCCUAAAGAGUAACGGAGGAGCACGAAGGUUGGCUAAUCCUGGUCGGACAUCAGGAGGUUAGUGCAAUGGCAUAAGCCAGCUUGACUGCGAGCGUGACGGCGCGAGCAGGUGCGAAAGCAGGUCAUAGUGAUCCGGUGGUUCUGAAUGGAAGGGCCAUCGCUCAACGGAUAAAAGGUACUCCGGGGAUAACAGGCUGAUACCGCCCAAGAGUUCAUAUCGACGGCGGUGUUUGGCACCUCGAUGUCGGCUCAUCACAUCCUGGGGCUGAAGUAGGUCCCAAGGGUAUGGCUGUUCGCCAUUUAAAGUGGUACGCGAGCUGGGUUUAGAACGUCGUGAGACAGUUCGGUCCCUAUCUGCCGUGGGCGCUGGAGAACUGAGGGGGGCUGCUCCUAGUACGAGAGGACCGGAGUGGACGCAUCACUGGUGUUCGGGUUGUCAUGCCAAUGGCACUGCCCGGUAGCUAAAUGCGGAAGAGAUAAGUGCUGAAAGCAUCUAAGCACGAAACUUGCCCCGAGAUGAGUUCUCCCUGACUCCUUGAGAGUCCUGAAGGAACGUUGAAGACGACGACGUUGAUAGGCCGGGUGUGUAAGCGCAGCGAUGCGUUGAGCUAACCGGUACUAAUGAACCGUGAGGCUUAACCUU
rnacentral:rRNA from 1 species